UUCCUCACACCACCACCCUUAUUCAUUACCCACUGCAUUCACUCCUACCUCGAUCCUUAACCAUCUCUUACUCCUCCCCUCACACUCUUAUGAAAGUACCCACUCUCUCCUCUGCUCCCCACGUCCCACUCUCUGCCUCUCAUCUCUUAUGCACACUUUCUUGUACCCAGACACUUUGCUCUGGCAUUCCCUCACUCCCAUCUACUUCCACUCCCCUCUAUAUAUCAAGUGGAGAGUAGCCAUGUCUCUCCUCUAUAGUAGGAAGCCUAUGCUUGUCCCUCUAUCAUACUUUAGCCUUUCAACUGGCAUAAAAAAAAACACCACCUCCCCCUCUCAAAUACUUCACCCACCCAUCCCCACUCAGUAGGAAGAGAUUUUCUCUUGCAAUUUACUUACCAACCUCACUAGCGCCAGUGGCAAGAGAACACCCGUCCAGUAACACUUUGCAAAAUGGUUGGUUUUUAAGGAAGGGCAUCCAGACCGCCUUACUCACCAUCGAAGGCAUUUUGUGUGUAUGUGUUUGUCUGCACAUGCGCAAAGCCAGUUUGGUCCUCACAACUUGUGUGAUGCCAGAGAAUACACAAAGAAAACCUUGAAGACACUACUUCUACUCUCAAUGUUUGGAUCAUGACUGAGGGAUUAAUACAACCAUACUGUGUCAUGACAGCCAUUAAUCCUGUAGAAUGGACAAGACAGUGAAGUCUUCCAUAAAUGAGGAACAGAGAUGUCAACUUCAAUUCUUUACAAAUCUCCAGAACCAAACUUAGCAUCAUGACCAAAACCACGAGUAAGAACUUCAUAGACAUAUCAUCCGUUAUAUCUGAAAUCUAUAAAAGUUAAUUGAAACAACAUUAAUUCUUUCCACUCUGACACUCUUCUAACAGAUUGUCCUUGGAGGAAAUAUUUUCUGGACAUGAGAGCAGCUCAUGGACAUUCUAAUCCCUUGAUAUUAAGUUUCUUUCUCAUAAGGCAUUGUCUUAUCUAGUUCAAUGAAGUUAAUGUCAAAAAUGGUAAGAAAACCAGGAAAAUCAUUGGUGCAAUUGUUGAUUAAUAUGGCAAGUUUCAGCUGCUACUGCGUUGUAUGACAAGUUUAAAUAAAAACCUUUUAAUUCUGUUA